UUCCUGCCGCGACGCCAAAGCCCCGUCCCUCCCCUGCGUGUGUGUUCUGUUUUGGGAACUCGUUCCUCGGAGCUCAAUAAGGACGAUAUCAAGGACAUAAGAAGAGGAUUAUUAUUAUUAUUCUGCAAUCAAGGUACUGCUGGGGACGAUGGUACUGCGUAGUGGCAAGGAUUACCACCUUAUUAAAUCAUCUAGUAAUAGUGCUACUAACUUGUAAGGUUAACUUAACUAGAAUGUAAGACCAUAUACUUUAAUAUAAGUUAUCGUUAUUAUGUCAAGUAACAUUAACGUUGUCUACUUUAAUAUAAUAUAAGAUGUUUAAG